AUUGAACGCUGGCGGCAGGCUUAACACAUGCAAGUCGAGGGGAGCGGCAGGCGGGUGAGUAACGCGUGGGAACGUACCUUUUGGUUCGGAACACCACAGGGAAACUUGUGCUAAUACCGGAUACCGAAAGAUCGGCCCGCGUCUGAUUAGCUUGUUGGUAGGGGAAUGGCCUACCAAGGCGACGAUCAGUAUCUGGUCUGAGAGGAUGAUCAGCCACAUUGGGACUGAGACACGGCACAAACUCCUACGGGAGGGAGCAGUGGGGAAUAUGGGACAAUGGGGGCAACACUGAGCCAGCCAUGCCGCGUGAGUGAUGAAGGCCCUAGGGUUGUAAAGCUCUUUGGUGCGGGAAGCGGUACCGAAAGAAUAAGCCACGGCUAACUUCGUGCCAGCAGCCGCGGUAAUUC
rnacentral:rRNA from 1 species